GUGCCAGCAGCGGCGGUAAUACGGAGGAUCCGAGCGUUAUCCGGAUUUAUUGGGUUUAAAGGGUGCGUAGGCGGCGUGCUAAGUCAGGGGUGAAAGACGGUGGCUCAACCAUCGCAGUGCCUUUGAUACUGGUGCGCUUGAAUGCGGAUGAGGUAGGCGGAAUGUGGCAAGUAGCGGUGAAAUGCAUAGAUAUGCCACAGAACACCGAUUGCGAAGGCAGCUUACCAAGGCGCGAUUGACGCUGAUGCACGAAAGCGUGGGAUCGAACAGGAUUAGAUACCCUGUAGUCCACGCCCUAAACGAUGAUGAACUCGGUGUCGGCGAU
rnacentral:rRNA from 1 species